UACGUAGGGACCAAGCGUUGUUCGGAUUUACUGGGCGUAAAGGGCGCGUAGGCGGCAAUUCAAGUCAUCUGUGAAAUCUCCGGGCUUAACCCGGAACGGUCAGGUGAUACUGUUUUGCUAGAGUGCGGAAGGGGCAAUCGGAAUUCUCGGUGUAGCGGUGAAAUGCGUAGAUAUCGAGAGGAACACCAGAGUGAAGACGGGUUGCUGGGCCGACACUGACGCUGACAGCGCGAAAGCCAGGGGAGCAAACGGG
rnacentral:rRNA from 1 species